GGACCUAUACCCAGCCGUUGCUGGCUUGUGCGUUGUCUAGCGCCUGGCCGCAACGAGUAGGAGGGUCGUGGCGGUUGCGUCGAAGGCUUUGGGCGUAGGCCCAGCUGGAGCUUCCGUCAGUGCAGAUCUCGGUGGUAGUAGCAAAUAUUUAAGUUCGAUCCUUGAAGACUGAAGUGGAGAAGGGUUCCACGUGAACAGUAGUUGAAUGUGGGUCAGUCGAUCCUAAGAUACUGGCUUAUGCCUUGUAUCACUGAGAGGGAAAAGUUUCUUUUCUCUCGGAUAUCAAAAGGGAAUAGGGUUAAUAUUCCCUAACGCAGACACAGAGAUUGCGGCUCUUUGAGUCGCUUGCGCGGUAACGCAUUCGAACUUGGUUACGUCGCUCAGAGACCGAGCUAGAGUUCUCUUCUCUAGUUAAGGAACGGACUCCCUGGAAUCGGUUCAGCCGUAGAUAGGGACGUUGUUUCCGUAAAGCAUCGCGGUUUCUGUGAUGUCUCGUGUUCUUUGGACGGCCCUUGAAAAACCAAGGAAGGCUAUCAAUCUGUGCUGCAUCGUACCGAUCUCCGCAUC
rnacentral:rRNA from 1 species